GUCGGAACCAGCCCGUCCCCGGGCUCCGCCGGUACCGCCGCCCGCUGCGGGGCUCCGCUGGCCCGGCGCCUGCCGCAGUCGCCCUCCCGGUAGAUCUCCCGGGGCGAGCCCGGGAAGCGCCGGGGGCGUGCGGGGGGUGCGGAGCGGCCCUGCCCCGCUCCCGCCCCUCCGCUGCUGCCGCUGCGAAAAUUACGCACUGGGGGCUGAUCUGCGUCAGCGCUUCGCAAUCAACCAGGAUUCUCUUCCUGGAACAUCUAUUUUGUCGCCAGGACCAGCCCUGCAGACUUUGUCCCUCUCUUGUGUCCGCCCAUCCCUUGGGAAGAGUGCAACUCCGUCCAGCAGGCAACCACAGCUGAGCCCAGCAGAGCGCACCCGCUGCAGCGCUGGGGUGGGGAGCAGCCACAGGGAACGGAGCAAGGAGAGCUGAGCCUGAGCCGAGCCUGAGCCGAGCCUGAGCUGGGAUUGAGCCAAGCCUGAGGUGGGCGUGAGCUGGGUCUGAGCCCGAGCCGAGCCCAGCUGGGUCUGAGCUGAGCCUGAGCCCAGCCAGUCCCAAGCCAAGGGGAGAGGAGCCGAGCUGAAGACGCCGACCACAGCCCAGGAAGUGGUGGCGCAGUGCGGACGAUCCAGCCCUUUGGGAUGUGCCCAUCCCUGGCUUUCGUGUUCCUGGGCUCCAGGACAGGCAGUGCCAGCUGUGACAGUGCUUGCCAUCGUGUCUUUGUCUCGGCAGCCACGCAGAACGGAGUCGAGGUGUGAACACCUCUGGUG
rnacentral:lncRNA from 12 species